rnacentral:rRNA from 1 species
CAUGCAGUCGAGGGGCAGCACGGGUAGCAAUACCUGGUGGCGACCGGCGCAAGGGUGCGUAACGCGUGAGCAACAUGCCCUAUACAGGGGGAUAAUCCAGGGAAACUUGGUCUAAUAUCCCAUAGUAUUUAGAGGAGGCAUCUUCUAUAAAUUAAAGCUUCGGUGGUAUAGGAUUGGCUCGCGUGACAUUAGCUAGAUGGUGAGGUAACGGCUCACCAUGGCAAUGAUGUCUAGGGGUUCUGAGAGGAAGGCCCCCCACACUGGGACUGAGACACGGCCCAGACUCCUACGGGAGGCAGCAGUGAGGAAUAUUGGACAAUGGAUGGAAAUCUGAUCCAGCCAUGCCGCGUGCAGGAAGACAGCCCUAUGGGUUGUAAACUGCUUUUAUAUGGGAGCAAUAAGGUCUACGUGUAGACUGAUGAGAGUACCAUAUGAAUAAGCAUCGGCUAACUCCGUGCCAGCAGCCGCGGUAAUACGGAGGAUGCGAGCGUUAUCCGGAUUUAUUGGGUUUAAAGGGUGCGUAGGCGGCCGAGUAAGUCAGCGGUGAAAUUUUGCAGCUUAACUGUAACAGUGCCGUUGAUACUGCAUGGCUAGGAUUUGGUUGCUGUGGGUGGAAUGUGUGGUGUAGCGGUGAAAUGCUUAGAUAUCACACAGAAUAUCAAUUGCGAAGGCAGCUCACAAAGCCAAGAUUGACGCUGAGGCACGAAAGUGUGGGGAUCAAACAGGAUUAGAUACCCUGGUAGUCCACACUGUAAACGAUGAUAACUCACUGCCGGCGAUACACAGUC